rnacentral:rRNA from 1 species
UACGUAGGGUGCAAGCGUUAAUCGGAAUUACUGGGCGUAAGGCGCGCGUUGGCGGCUGUCUAAGUCGGAUGUGAAAUCCCCGGGCUCAACCUGGGAACUGCAUUCGAUACUGGACGGCUAGAGUAUGAGAGAGGGAGGUAGAAUUCCACGUGUAGCGGUGAAAUGCGUAGAUAUGUGGAGGAAUACCGGUGGCGAAGGCGGCCUCCUGGCUUAAUACUGACGCUGAGGUGCGAAAGCGUGGGGAGCAAACAGG